UUUUGGACAAUGGGAGCAAGCCUGAUCCAGCCAUGCCGCGUGUCUGAAGAAGGCCUUCGGGUUGUAAAGGACUUUUGUCAGGGAAGAAAAGGCUGUCGCUAAUACCGACAGUUGAUGACGGUACCUGAAGAAUAAGCACCGGCUAACUACGUGCCAGCAGCCGCGGUAAUACGUAGGGUGCGAGCGUUAAUCGGAAUUACUGGGCGUAAAGCGAGCGCAGACGGUUACUUAAGCAGGAUGUGAAAUCCCCGGGCUUAACCUGGGAACUGCGUUCUGAACUGGGUGACUAGAGUGUGUCAGAGGGAGGUAGAAUUCCACGUGUAGCAGUGAAAUGCGUAGAGAUGUGGAGGAAUACCGAUGGCGAAGGCAGCCUCCUGGGAUGACACUGACGUUCAUGCUCGAAAGCGUGGGUAGCAAACAGGAUUAGAUACCCUGGUAGUCCGCGCCCUAAACCGAGGUCAAUUAGCUGUUGGGCAACUUGAUUGCUUAGUAGCGUAGCUAACGCGUGAAAUUGACCGCCUGGGGAGUACGGUCGCAAGAUUAAAACUCAAAGGAAUUGACGGGGACCCGCACAAGCGGUGGAUGAUGUGGAUUAAUUCGAUGCAACGCGAAGAACCUUACCUGGUCUUGACAUGUACGGAAUCCUCCAGAGACGGAGGAGUGCCUUCGGGAGCCGUAGCACAGGUGCUGCAUGGCUGUCGUCAGCUCGUGUCGUGAGAUGUUGGGUUAAGUCCCGCAACGAGCGCAACCCUUGUCAUUAGUUGCCAUCAUUAAGUUGGGCACUCUAAUGAGACUGCCGGUGACAAGCCGGAGGAAGGUGGGGAUGACGUCAAGUCCUCAUGGCCCUUAUGACCAGGGCUUCACACGUCAUACAAUGGUCGGUACAGAGGGUAGCCAAGCCGCGAGGCGGAGCCAAUCUCACAAAACCGAUCGUAGUCCGGAUUGCACUCUGCAACUCGAGUGCAUGAAGUCGGAAUCGCUAGUAAUCGCAGGUCAGCAUACUGCGGUGAAUAAGGUCCCGGGUCUUGC
rnacentral:rRNA from 1 species